rnacentral:lncRNA from 1 species
UUUGGCAACGUUUUCCCUCCCUCCUUUUUCCCCCUCUCAAUUGUCAAUUAAUGUCGUCUGUAAACCACGUUGAAUUCUGGGCUUUCACUCUCUCUCUCUCGUGUUUAACUGAUUUGUUCGUGAUUGCCCAAAGUCAAUUUACUGGGUUUAAGGACCCGUGUGUGUGUGUGUGUCGUUCUUCUUAUUCUAAGAGACGUCACUCGAGUUGAAUCUAGUGUGUGACGAUAUAUCCGACAUUUGUGUGUCACAGGACACUAAUUGGCCUAUACACCUCUGGGUGUUGACCCUGUGUACGAGUGAUUCUCACCUUGUGUGUAGCCUGUCUUCACAGGAACCACCACUUCCUUAUCACAAAGUACACCGUGUUCAUUUAUGUGAACACCAGUCAAGUCGAACACAAUACAAGAGAUUUUGCUCUUACGAGCCAAC